CAAUAGCGUAUAUUAAAGUUGUUGCGGUUAAAAAGCUCGUAGUUGGAUUUCUGCUGAGAACGACCGGUCCGCCCUUUGGGUGUGUAUCUGGCUCUUUCUUGGCAUCUUCUUGGUGAACGUUGCUGCACUUGACUGUGUGGAGCGCUACCCAGGACUUUUACUUUGAGGAAAUUAGAGUGUUUCAAGCAGGCAUACGCCUUGAAUACAUUAGCAUGGAAUAAUAAGAUAGGACCUCGGUUCUAUUUUGUUGGUUUCUAGAGCUGAGGUAAUGAUUAAUAGGGAUAGUUGGGGGCAUUCGUAUUUAACUGUCAGAGGUGAAAUUCUUGGAUUUGUUAAAGACAGACUACUGCGAAAGCAUUUGCCAAGGAUGUUUUCAUUG
rnacentral:rRNA from 1 species